rnacentral:rRNA from 1 species
GAUGAACGCUGGCGGCGUGCCUAACACAUGCAAGUCGAACGGAAAGGCCCUGCUCUUGUGGGGUGCUCGAUUGGCGAACGGGUGAGUAACACGUGUGUAACCUCUCCCUGUCUUUGGGAUAACUUUACGAAACUCGGGCUCUAAUCGGAUAGGAUCUUUUGCUGCAUGGUGUGGGAUGGAAAGAUUCGGCGGUAUGGGAUGGUCUAGAGGCUUAUCAGCUUGAUUGUGGGGUAGGGGCGUACGAAGGCUAUGACGGGUACGCUGCCUGAGAGGGUGACCGGCCACAUGAGGACUGAGAGACGGCCCAGACUCCUACGGGAGGCAGCAGGGGGGAAUAUUGCACAAUAGGCGGGAGUCAGAUGCAGCAGCGCCGCGUGCGGGAUGACGGCCUACUGGUUGUAAACAGCUUUCGCCGGUGCCGAACAGUGAGUGACGGUAAUGAAUAAGAAAGCACCGGCUAACUACGUG